UACCUGGUUGAUCCUGCCAGUAGUCAUAUGCUUGUCUCAAAGAUUAAGCCAUGCAUGUCUCAGUUCAGGCCUUAAUACGGUGAGACCGCGAAUGGCUCAUUAAAUCAGCUAUGGUUUAUUGGAUCGUGCCCGUUAGAUGGAUAACUGUAAUAACUCUAGAGCUAAUACAUGCCUCGAUGCCCUGACCCUGCUUGCUUGCGUGCGGUGGGGGAUGGGUGCACUUAUUAGACCAGAAGCCAACCAACCAACUGUGCGUGUGCGGCCCACUGCGAGGUGGACGUGGCGUGCGUUGUGACACUCACUUCUGGUGACUCUGGAUAAUUGUUACAGAUCGCAGUCGGCGCUGAGUCGGCGACGGGUCCUUCAAAUGUCUGCCCUAUCAACUUUCGAUGGUAGGUGACCUGCCUACCAUGGUGGCGACGGGUAACGGGGAAUCAGGGUUCGAUUCCGGAGAGGGAGCCUGAGAAACGGCUACCACUUCCAAGGGAGGCAGCAGGCGCGCAAAUUACCCACUCCCGGCACGGGGAGGUGGUGACGAAAAAUACCGAUGCGGGACUCCUUCAAGAGGCUCCGUAAUCGGAAUGAGUGGACUCUAAACCCCUUCACGAGGAUCAAUUGGAGGGCAAGUCUGGUGCCAGCAGCCGCGGUAACUCCAGCUCCAAUAGCGUAUAUUAAAGUUGCUGCAGUUAAAAAGCUCGUAGCUGGAUCUCGGUGGCAUUGUUGCCUGUUGGUGAUUGAGCGGCGGGUGUGUGGUCGUCGGUGCGCGGUUGCCUCGGCGCCUGCAUGUUGGUGGGCCGGUCAGUAGUUGGGCUGGUGGGGUGGCGUUUGUUGCGGUAGGGUGGUUGGUUGGUUGGUUGGUUGGUUGACCAGCUGGUCUGCUCUUUGCUCGCUCGUUCGCUCUCUUGCUGGCCGAUUGGUGAGCUGGCUCGCAUGUUCGCCUGCGGCGUUGGGGUGGCUGUGCAGUCGUGGCCAUGAGCAAGCACUGUCGCGUCAAGCCGACAAGGUGGUGGUGUCGCCUGUAAGCCAUGUCUGUGGUGUAGUCGCCGCAGGUGUGGGCGGGUGUUGGGCGGUGCUCUGCACGCGCUGCGGGGCCUGUCGGCUCGUCCACAUGCCUCUGGAUGCCCUUGAUUGGGUGUCUGCGGGCGGAUGGCACGUUUACUUUGAACAAAUUUGAGUGCUCAAGUCAGGCCGGUGUUGCCUGCAGAGUUUUGCAUGGAAUAAUGGAAGAGGACUUCGGUUCUAUUUCGUUGGUUUUCGGAUCCGAAGUAAUGAUCAAAAGAGACAGGCGGGGGCGUUUGUAUGGCUGCGCUAGAGGUGAAAUUCAUGGACCGUAGCCAGACAAACUAAAGCGAAGGCAUUCGUCAAGCAUGUUUUCAUUGGCCAUGAGCGAAAGUCAGAGGCUCGAAGACGAUCAGAUACCGUCCUAGUUCUGACCAUAAACGAUGCCAACUGACGAUCCGUGGUGGUAGUGAUGUUGCCUUCCCCACGGGCAGUCGCCGGGAAACCGUUAAGUGUUUGGGUUCCGGGGGAAGUAUGGUUGCAAAGCUGAAACUUAAAGGAAUUGACGGAAGGGCACCACCAGGAGUGGAGCCUGCGGCUUAAUUUGACUCAACACGGGAAAACUCACCCGGGCCGGACACUGUGAGGAUUGACAGAUUGAGAGCUCUUUCUUGAUUUGGUGGUUGGUGGUGCAUGGCCGUUCUUAGUUGGUGGAGCGAUUUGUCUGGUUAAUUCCGAUAACGAACGAGACUCCAGCCUGCUAAUUAGUGCGUUCGUCCACUGCGCCCGCGUGGGUGACGUUGGACGAUGCCGUCUGCCGUGGGUGCGCGGUUUGCGCUCUUGCCCUCUCCUCUCCUCUCCUCCCCUCCUGCACUUCUUCGUGUGAGGGUGGUGGGGCGGGGUGGGGUGGGCGAGGUUGCAGGUUCACGCCCGUGGUUGGUUAGUUUGGCGUUGGCCCGCGGGUGCGGCGCGAGUGUAUACUUCUUAGAGGGACAAGCGGGAGAAGCCGCGCGAGAUAGAGCAAUAACAGGUCUGUGAUGCCCUUAGAUGUCCGGGGCCGCACGCGCGCUACAAUGACGGUGUCAACGAGUGGGACCUUCUGGCCCGAGAGGGUUGGGCAAACUGGUCAAUCACCGUCGUGACAGGGAUCGGGGCUUGGAAUUGUUCCCCGUGAACGAGGAAUUCCUAGUAAGUGCAAGUCAUAAGCUUGCGCUGAUUACGUCCCUGCCCUUUGUACACACCGCCCGUCGCUACUACCGAUUGAAUGGCUUAGUGAGAUCCUUGGAUCGGCGUCAUUGUGGCAGCUGCCGGAAGGUCGCUGUCCUACAGUCGCCGAGAAGACGACCGAACUUGGUCAUUUAGAGGAAGUAAAAGUCGUAACAAGGUUUCCGUAGGUGAACCUGCGGAAGGAUCAUUA
rnacentral:rRNA from 1 species